CAGUCGCCGCGGUAAUACGUAGGUGGCAAGCGUUGUCCGGAAUUAUUGGGCGUGAAGGGCUCGCAGGCGGUUUCUUAAGUCUGAUGUGAAAGCCCCCGGCUCAACCGGGGAGGGUCAUUGGAAACUGGGAAACUUGAGUGCAGAAGAGGAGAGUGGAAUUCCACGUGUAGCGGUGAAAUGCGUAGAGAUGUGGAGGAACACCAGUGGCGAAGGCGACUCUCUGGUCUGUAACUGACGCUGAGGAGCGAAAGCGUGGGGAGCGAACAGGAUUAGAUACCCCAGUAGUCCCUGUCUCUUAUAC
rnacentral:rRNA from 1 species